UACGUAGGCAGCAAGCGUUGUUCGGAAUUACUGGGCGUAAAGAGUGUGUAGGCGGUGUUCUAAGUUCGGUGUGAAAUCUCCCGGCUCAACUGGGAGGGUGCAUUGAAAACUGGGAUGCUUGAGGGUGGGAGAGGUAAGCGGAAUUCCUGGUGUAGCGGUGAAAUGCGUAGAUAUCAGGAGGAACACCUGUGGUGUAGACAGCUUACUGGACCACUUCUGACGCUGAGACACGAAAGCGUGGGUAGCAAACAGG
rnacentral:rRNA from 1 species